rnacentral:rRNA from 1 species
UACAUGGGGUGCAAACGUUGCUCGGAAUUAUUGGGCGUAAAGCGCACGUAGGCGGUUCGUUAAGUCGGAUGUGAAAGCCCUUGGCUUAACCGAGGAAGUGCAUCCGAAACUGGCGAGCUAGAGUACGAAAGAGGAUCGCGGAAUUCCCGGUGUAGAGGUGAAAUUCGUAGAUAUCGGGAGGAACACCGGGUGGCGAAGGCGGCGAUCUGGGUCGAUACUGACGCUGAGGUGCGAAAGCGUGGGGAGCAAACAGG